rnacentral:rRNA from 1 species
CCUACGGGAGGCAGCAGUGGGGAAUAUUGCACAAUGGGGGAAACCCUGAUGCAGCGACGCCGCGUGAGUGAAGAAGUAUCUCGGUAUGUAAAGCUCUAUCAGCAGGGAAGAAAAUGACGGUACCUGACUAAGAAGCCCCGGCUAACUACGUGCCAGCAGCCGCGGUAAUACGUAGGGGGCAAGCGUUAUCCGGAUUUACUGGGUGUAAAGGGAGCGUAGACGGCGCUGCAAGUCCGGAGUGAAAGCCCAUGGCUUAAACAUGGUACUGCUCUGGAAACUGUGCAGCUAGAGUGCAGGAGAGGUAAGCGGAAUUCCUAGUGUAGCGGUGAAAUGCGUAGAUAUUAGGAGGAACACCAGUGGCGAAGGCGGCUUACUGGACUGUAACUGACGUUGAGGCUCGAAAGCGUGGGGAGCAAACAGGAUUAGAUACCCCAGUAGUC